GAUGAACGCUAGCGGCAGGCCUAACACAUGCAAGUCGAGGGGCAUCAUGGCGUAGCAAUACGCUGAUGGCGACCGGCGCACGGGUGCGUAACGCGUAUGGAACCUACCCACCGCAGGGGGAUAACCCGCCGAAAGGCGGACUAAUACCCCAUGGUUCCCCGACCCUGCCUGGGGUUGGGGGUAAAGCCUACGGGCGGCGGUGGAUGGCCCUGCGUGCCAUUAGCUGGCUGGUGGGGUAACGGCCCACCAGGGCGACGAUGGCUAGGGGGUCUGAGAGGACGAUCCCCCACACUGGUACUGAGACACGGACCAGACUCCUACGGGAGGCAGCAGUGAGGAAUAUUGGUCAAUGGGCGCAAGCCUGAACCAGCCAUGCCGCGUGAAGGAUGACGGCCCCUAUGGGUUGUAAACUUCUUUUGUACGGGAAAAAACCUCUAGGUCGAGAAUCAGAGCUGAUGGUACCGUAAGAAUAAGCAUCGGCUAACUCCGUGCCAGCAGCCGCGGUAAUCUGU
rnacentral:rRNA from 1 species